AUUGAACGCUGGCGGCAUGCUUUACACAUGCAAGUCGAACGGCAGCGCGGGCUUCGGCCUGGCGGCGAGUGGCGAACGGGUGAGUAAUACAUCGGAACGUGCCCGGUCGUGGGGGAUAGCUCGGCGAAAGCCGGAUUAAUACCGCAUACGACCUGAGGGUGAAAGCGGGGGAUCUUCGGACCUCGCGCUAUUGGAGCGGCCGAUGGCAGAUUAGCUAGUUGGUGGGGUAAAGGCCUACCAAGGCGACGAUCUGUAGCUGGUCUGAGAGGACGACCAGCCACACUGGGACUGAGACACGGCCCAGACUCCUACGGGAGGCAGCAGUGGGGAAUUUUGGACAAUGGGCGAAAGCCUGAUCCAGCAAUGCCGCGUGUGUGAUGAAGGCCUUCGGGUUGUAAAGCACUUUUGGCGGGAACGAAAAGGACUGUGCCAAUACCACGGUUCGAUGACGGUACCCGCAGAAUAAGCACCGGCUAACUACGUG
rnacentral:rRNA from 1 species